GACAUCCAGAGAACUUAGCAGAGAUGCUUUGGUGCCUUCGGGAACUCUGAGACAGGUGCUGCAUGGCUGUCGUCAGCUCGUGUUGUGAAAUGUUGGGUUAAGUCCCGCAACGAGCGCAACCCUUAUCCUUUGUUGCCAGCGGCUCGGCCGGGAACUCAAAGGAGACUGCCGGUGAUAAACCGGAGGAAGGUGGGGAUGACGUCAAGUCAUCAUGGCCCUUACGGCCAGGGCUACACACGUGCUACAAUGGCGCAUACAAAGAGAAGCGACCUCGCGAGAGCAAGCGGACCUCAUAAAGUGCGUCGUAGUCCGGAUUGGAGUCUGCAACUCGACUCCAUGAAGUCGGAAUCGCUAGUAAUCGUAGAUCAGAAUGCUACGGUGAAUACGUUCCCGGGCCUUGUACACACCGCCCGUCACACCAUGGGAGUGGGUUGCAAAAGAAGUAGGUAGCUUAACCUUCGGGAGGGCGCUUACCACUUUGUGAUUCAUGACUGGGGUGAAGUCGUAACAAGGUAGGCGUACGUGU
rnacentral:rRNA from 1 species